rnacentral:sRNA from 1 species
UUUUAGCCCUGAUUGCAGUGAAAAUCCUUUUUGUUUUUUUUUAAAAAUAAAAAGAUUGCAACGUAAAGUAGGUUCCUGG